UACGUAGGGGGCAAGCGUUGUCCGGAAUCAUUGGGCGUAAAGAGCGCGUAGGCGGCCCGAUAAGUCCGCUGUGAAAGUCAAGGGCUUAACCCUUGAAUGCCGGUGGAAACUGUCGGGCUAGAGUCCGGAAGAGGCGAGUGGAAUUCCUGGUGUAGCGGUGAAAUGCGCAGAUAUCAGGAGGAACACCGAUGGCGAAGGCAGCUCGCUGGGACGUGACUGACGCUGAGACGCGAAAGCGUGGGGAGCAAACAGG
rnacentral:rRNA from 1 species